rnacentral:rRNA from 1 species
AUCGGGAAUUUUGCACAAUGGACGAAAGUCUGAUGCAGCGACACCGCGUGAAGGAUGAAGGCCUUCGGGUUGUAAACUUACAUUAAAAAGCACCGGCUAACUACGUGCCAGCAGCAGCGGUCAUACGUAGGGUGCAAGCGUUGUCCGGAUUUAUUGGGCGUAAAGAGUUCUGUAGGCGGUUGUGUUAGUCAAAGGUCAAAGACCCCGGCUCAACUGGGGGAAGGCUUUUGAUACUGCACAACUAGAGAUGGCUAGGGGGUAGCGGAACGCACGGUGAAGCAGUGAAAUGCGUUGAUAUCGUGCGGAACACCAAGGGGGAAACCAGCUACCUGGGGCCUAUCUGACGCUGAGAGACGAAAGCGUAGGGAGCGAAACGGAUUAGAAACCCCUGUAGUCC